rnacentral:tRNA from 1 species
GCCGGUGUAGCUCAAUGGUAGAGCAGCUGAUUUGUAAUCAGCAGGUUGGGGGUUCGAUUCCCUUCGCCGGCUCCA